AUAUAUUUAAUAAAAAUUACAGUAAUAAUAUAUAACAAUUAUGUAAAAAAAAAUUGAAUGGGACUAUAUAUAUAAAACUAAAUUAAAAAUUAUACUUGGCUUGCACCAAUACAUACACCAUUUUCCAAUCAGCAACAUAUCAUUCUUCAUAACACUGGUAACAAUUGAAAAACAUGAAAUUGCAAUGAAUAUUAGUGUUAAUGGUGAGGUUGUCCAUAAAAUCAUAUGUCUUCAUCUAUGUGUUCAUAUAUAAAAACAACAAAUAUGUAAACUUAAAAACACAAUAGAUAAAAAGUUGGUAAAAGGUGAUCUACUUACUUGUUGACAUUGUUUUGAGUGUAGCUGAUAAGUUAGGAAAUUAUUCAAGGGAUUGACAAAACUCACCUAAGUUCUCCUUCAAAUCUUCCUCACAUUCCGAACAUGAGCAAUCAGUCAUGUUUUCCCUUCAUGACAUUAAAGAAUAAAUGAAUAUAAAAGUAACAAAAGAACAAAAUAAUGUACAAUAAUUAAUUGCAAUGAAUAUUAGUGUUAAUAGUGAGGUUGUCCAUAAAACCAUAU
rnacentral:lncRNA from 1 species